rnacentral:rRNA from 1 species
AUUGAACGCUGGCGGCAUGCCUUACACAUGCAAGUCGAACGGCAGCACGGGUGCUUGCACCUGGUGGCGAGUGGCGAACGGGUGAGUAAUACAUCGGAACAUGUCCUGUAGUGGGGGAUAGCCCGGCGAAAGCCGGAUUAAUACCGCAUACGAUCCACGGAUGAAAGCGGGGGACCUUCGGGCCUCGCGCUAUAGGGUUGGCCGAUGGCUGAUUAGCUAGUUGGUGGGGUAAAGGCCUACCACGGCGACGAUCAGUAGCUGGUCUGAGAGGACGACCAGCCACACUGGGACUGAGACACGGCCCAGACUCCUACGGGAGGCAGCAGUGGGGAAUUUUGGACAAUGGGCGAAAGCCUGAUCCAGCAAUGCCGCGUGUGUGAAGAAGGCCUUCGGGUUGUAAAGCACUUUUGUCCGGAAAGAAAUCCUUGACUCUAAUACAGUCGGGGGAUGACGGUACCGGAAGAAUAAGCACCGGCUAACUACGUG